AUUGAACGCUGGCGGCAUGCUUUACACAUGCAAGUCGAGCGGCAGCGCGGGGGCAACCCUGGCGGCGAGCGGCGAACGGGUGAGUAAUGCAUCGGAACGUACCCUGGAGUGGGGGAUAACGCCGCGAAAGCGGCGCUAAUACCGCAUAUGCUCUGAGGAGGAAAGUGGGGGGACCGCAAGGCCUCACGCUCUGGGAGCGGCCGAUGUCCGAUUAGCUAGUUGGUGGGGUAAAGGCUUACCAAGGCGACGAUCGGUAGCUGGUCUGAGAGGAUGAUCAGCCACACUGGGACUGAGACACGGCCCAGACUCCUACGGGAGGCAGCAGUGGGAAUUUUGGACAAUGGGGGCAACCCUGAUCCAGCCAUGCCGCGUGAGUGAAGAAGGCCUCGGUUGUAAAGG
rnacentral:rRNA from 1 species